rnacentral:tRNA from 1 species
GCUUCGGUAGUUUAAUGGACCAGCACUGCAGACCAGAUAUCUGUAAAUGCGGGUUCGAGUCCCGCUUGAGGUU